AACGAACGCUGGCGGCGUGCCUAACACAUGCAAGUCGAGCGAGAAAGCCCGCAAGGGUGAGUAAAGCGGCGCACGGGUGCGUAACACGUGGGUAAUCUGCCCUGAAGUCCGGAAUAACUCGCCGAAAGGCGUGCUAAUGCCGGAUAAGACCACGGGAACCUCGGUUCCUGCGGGAAAAGGUGGCCUCUGUACACAAGCUAUCCCUUCAGGAUGAGCCCGCGGCCCAUCAGCUAGUUGGCGGGGUAAUGGCCCACCAAGGCUACGACGGGUAGCUGGUCUAAGAGGACGAUCAGCCACACUGGAACUGAGACACGGUCCAGACUCCUACGGGAGGCAGCAGUGGGGAAUCUUGCGCAAUGGGCGAAAGCCUGACGCAGCAACGCCGCGUGUGUGAUGAAGGUCUUCGGAUCGUAAAGCACUGUCGGGAGGGACGAAUAGGGCGCCGGCUAACAUCCGGCGCUGAUGACGGUACCUCCAAAGGAAGCACCGGCUAACUCUGUGCCAGCAGCCGCCGUAAGAC
rnacentral:rRNA from 1 species